GAGGAGGGAGAGGCUCCAGCCUCUGCUGCUCCCAGCGGCUCCGCCCGGCAUCGCGCUCCCGCUCGCCUGCCUGGGUCGGGCCUUCCUCUCGCCUCUCCUCCUGCCGCUCGGUCUCCUCCUUCUCGCGGGCGAUGGCGGCGCUCCACGGGGCGGCUACCAAGGCCGGCGCCCCGCCGCAGAUCCCGGACACCCGUCGCGAGCUGGCCGAGCUGGUCAAGCGCAAGCAGGAGCUGGCCGAGACGCUGGCCAACCUGGAGCGGCAGAUCUACGCCUUCGAGGGCAGCUACCUGGAAGAUACUCAGAUGUACGGCAACAUCAUCCGAGGCUGGGACCGCUACCUGACCAACCAGAAGAACUCCAACAGCAAGAAUGACCGACGGAACCGCAAGUUCAAAGAAGCUGAGCGCCUCUUCAGCAAGUCUUCAGUCACAUCAGCUGCUGCGGUCAGCGCACUGGCAGGAGUUCAGGACCAGCUCAUUGAAAAACGGGAGCCUGGCAGCGGGACAGAGAGCGACACCUCCCCAGACUUCCACAACCAGGAAAACGAACCGAGCCAAGAAGAAGCGGAAGAGCUGGACGGCUCCGUCCAAGGGGUGAAGCCCCAGAAGGCAGCAUCCUCCACUUCGGGCAGCCACCACAGUAGCCACAAAAAACGGAAGAACAAAAAUCGACACAGCCCGUCUGGCAUGUUUGAUUAUGACUUUGAGUAUGUAUAUUAGGUUAGGCUGGCAAGUUUUUUAAAAUACAGACAAAAGCGCAUUGGAGGAUUGAUCUCAAAUUGAACAAAAAGCCCCGAGCUGAUUACUAGAUGCCUCCGCGCUGAAUCUUCCAAGAGCCUGUUUGCUUCCCGCCCCAAAUCCCAGUCCGCACCAGGAGACUGAAUAAGCACAAGGACAGCUCUUUCCCACCCCAGACUGCCCAGCUCUCCUGGCUCAGCUCAGCUCAGAUGAUGUUGAUGGGGACAAUCUGUGGCGGCGGCAGCUGCUGCUCCUUCUUUCCUUCCUUGUCAGCUGAUCAGCAACAGACUCCCACCUUGGACUGGCCAGCCUCACUGCUGCUGUUCCAUCAUGUGUAAAAUAACCACCGGGAAAUGCUCUUGUCGAUGUUUCCUUCUGUUUCUUCUGGUUGAUUAUAACCCCUUUUUUGUCUCAUGAUGUUGCUUUUUUAAAAAAAAGCAAACCUUGAUAUUUAAAUUACAACCUUAAAAAAGAAAGAAAGAAAAGAAACAGCCCCCUUGUCUAUGUAGGUCCACUUCCCUCUUGUUGGAGCCUGACUGUGGUGAUGCUGGGGGAACUACUUCAAAGAGGCAGCGGGUUGGAGCAGGAAGGUGACUUUAUUUAAUUCUCCUGAUGCUUGAGAGGGAUAAAGGUGGUGGGGGCAGAGUCUCUCUCUUUUUUAAAAAAACACUUCUGUCUUUUGUUUGUAAAUAAAGCCAUCAAACUUCCAUCUCA